GUACCGAUGAAGAAUCCCAAACCAGGACGAAACAGUUGUCCAGUAC
rfam:Trichobilharzia regenti genome assembly, scaffold: TRE_contig0002313